rnacentral:lncRNA from 1 species
GGUAAGGUCAUCCCAGAGCUGAACGAAAAGCUCAAUGGCAUGGCCUUCCGUAUUUCUACCCGGAAUGUAUCCGCUGUGGAUCUGACAUGACACUGGGAGAAACCUGCCAACUAUUAUGACAUCAAGAAGGUGGUAAGGCAGGCACCAGAGGGCUCCUAAAAAGGGCAUCUUGAGCUAUAAUGAGGACGAGGUUGUCUCCUCCAAUUUCAAUAGUAACUAACUCCCACUCCUCCACCUUUGAUGCUAGGGCUGGCAUUGCUCUCAAUGACAAUGUUGUCAAGCUCAUUUCCGGGUAUGAUAACGAAUAAGGCUGCAGCAACAGGGUGGUGAGCCUCAUGGCCUCCAAGGAGUAA